UACCCUGAAGAAGGCUGGCCGAGCCUUCCCCGAGCCCGGUAUCCUGAAGUGGACUGGCCGAGCCUUCCCCGAGCACGGUACUCCGAGGAGCUACCCGAGCGUAACCCCGACCCGCGUCCUGAGGAACAGCCCGAGCUAGCCGACACUGAGCACGACGAGGAGCCCAUGGUGUGGUACCCCACGCCGGACACCAGUACUGAGCAGGCUGGGCAGACAGACAGAAGAGGCAAGACAGCUGGAUUUCAGAUACUGUGAGACUCCCACUCAGUGGAACUGCUGCUGCACUGUGUUUCCUCUCAUCCUGCUCCUCAUGCCCUGCUGGAGUAGUCAGCGGCUGGGGUUGCAGGAACAAAGUUGUGCAUACCCAAUGAGCACUGGAGGACGCAGAAGAGGAGUUCCCCUUCCAGUGGCUACCACAGCAAUGAACUGCCUGCUUGUGGGGGAGGCAAGCCUGGGGAACAGAUGAAAGAGAGAAAAGUAAGGGAGCAAUGUGGUAAGGAAACAAAAGGUUUGGAUAUUCUUUGUACUGAUUUUGCUGCAAAGUGUACUCACCAAUGUGAUAUGUUUUCAUGCACCAUCAGCCUCCAUGUCCUG